rnacentral:rRNA from 1 species
AACGAACGCUGGCGGCAGGCCUAACACAUGCAAGUCGAGCGCCCUUUCGCGGGAGCGGCGGCCGGGUGGGUAGCGCGUGGGGAUAUGCCCUUCUCUACAAAAUACCCUCGGCAUACUGAUAGUAAUACCGUAUACGCCCUUAGGGGGGACGAGUUAUCGGGGAAGGUUUAGGGCGCGUGAGAUUAGGUGGUUGGUGGGGUAAUGGCCUACCAAGCCGACGAGCCAGAGCUGUUUUGAGAGGCUGAGCAGACACACCGGGACUGCGACACGGACCAGACUCGUACGGAAGGGAGCGGAGGGGAAUCUUAGACAAUGGGGGCAACCCUGAGCGAGCCGUGCCGGGGGAGUGAUGAAGGACUUAGGGAUGCAAAGCUCUUUGAGCUGGAAAGAUAAUGACGGUACCAGCAGAAGAAGCACCGGCUAACUCCGUG